rnacentral:rRNA from 2 species
UCAGAGCUUGCUCCUGGUUGAUCAGUGGCGAACGGGUGAGUAACACGUGAGUAACCUGCCCUUGACUCUGGGAUAACUCCGGGAAACCGGGGCUAAUACCGGAUACGAGACGCGACCGCAUGGUCGGCGUCUGGAAAGUUUUUCGGUCAAGGAUGGACUCGCGGCCUAUCAGCUAGUUGGUGAGGUAACGGCUCACCAAGGCGUCGACGGGUAGCCGGCCUGAGAGGGCGACCGGCCACACUGGGACUGAGACACGGCCCAGACUCCUACGGGAGGCAGCAGUGGGGAAUAUUGCACAAUGGGCGAAAGCCUGAUGCAGCGACGCCGCGUGAGGGAUGAAGGCCUUCGGGUUGUAAACCUCUUUCAGUAGGGAAGAAGCGGUUGGGUUCUCCUAGACGUGACGGUACCUGCAGAAGAAGCGCCGGCUAACUACGUGCCAGCAGCCGCGGUAAUACGUAGGGCGCAAGCGUUGUCCGGAAUUAUUGGGCGUAAAGAGCUCGUAGGCGGUUUGUCGCGUCUGGGGUGAAAACUCAAGGCUCAACCUUGAGCUUGCAUCGGGUACGGGCANACUAGAGUGUGGUAGGGGUGACUGGAAUUCCUGGUGUAGCGGUGUAAUGCGCAGAUAUCAGGAGGAACACCCGAUGGCGAAGGCAGGUCACUGGGCCACUACUGACCGCUGACGAGCGAAAAGCAUGGGGAGCGAACAGGAUUAAGAUACCCCUGGUAGUCCCAUGCCGUUAAA